GACGUAGGGUGCGAGCGUUGUCCGGAAUUACUGGGCGUAAAGAGCUCGUAGGUGGUUUGUCGCGUUGUCCGUGAAAACUCACAACUCAAUUGUGGGCGUGCGGGCGAUACGGGCAGACUGGAGUACUGCAGGGGAGACUGGAAUUCCUGGUGUAGCGGUGGAAUGCGCAGAUAUCAGGAGGAACACCGGUGGCGAAGGCGGGUCUCUGGGCAGUAACUGACGCUGAGACGCGAAAGCUAGGGGAGCGAACAGG
rnacentral:rRNA from 1 species